rnacentral:lncRNA from 1 species
UCCCAGGGUGUCCCAAGAUGUCCUGGGGAUAUCCUGGAGUGUCCCGGCAUGUCCUGGGUGUGUCCCAGGAUGUCCCAAGGUGUCCUGGGGGUGUCCUGGGGGUGUUUUGGGGUGUUGGGGCGCCCCCCCCCCCCCCCCCCCCCCCCCCCCCCCCCCCCCCCCCCCCCCCCCCCCCCCCCCCCCCCCCCCCCCCCCCCCCCCCCCCCCCCCCCCCCCCCCCCCCCCCCCCCCCCCCCCCCCCCCCCCCCCCCCCCCCCCCCCCCCCCCCCCGCCGCUGCUGGCAGCUGAGCCCUCACCUUUCCCAGGGAUUCGCUGUCAGGGUGAACAGACCCCAGCAUGAGCUGCCAGGGGUGGAAAAAGCCGUAAAAACCGGGGAAAACCCCGAAGUGGGGUUUCCUAAAGGGACCUGGGGACACACCCAGAGCUGGGGACAGCCGCCACCACCAGGACUGGCACUGCCACCCUGGGAAUGUCCCAGAGCAUCCCGGGGAGCUGAUCGCGGGAUGGACCCAGAGCUCACCCCCCGGAGCCCCCACACCCCCCGAAGGCAACCCCAGGUUCGGGAUCUCCAUCCCGGGGGGAGGGGACACCACCCUCCGCAGCCAGGGGACCUGGGGAGGGUGUCCCAGAGUCCCCUGUCCCCGGGUCCAGCCUUGGCCAGCUGCCCUCACAUGCCAGCAAUGCCCACGGGGACCUCCUGCCAUCCUGCCAGGACCUGGCACACCUCGGGAUGGGGAGCAGGAAACGGAGCAACGGGAAAAACGGGAGGAGCUGAGCUGUGCCCCGGCUGGCAGGUCUGGGACACGGGUGACACCACCCUGGCAUUGUCCCCUGGCUGCGGGAAGGUUUGGGACACGGGAGACACCACCCUGGGAACCUCGCCGGGAUUCAAGCCCAGCCUCGCCGGGAUUCAAGCCCAGCCUCGCCGGGAUUCAAGCCCAGCCUCGCCGGGAUUCAAGCCCAGCCUCGCCGGGAUUCAAGCCCAGCCUCGCCGGGAUUCAAGCCCAGCCUCGCCGGGAUUCAAGCCCAGCCUCGCCGGGAUUCAAGCCCAGCCUCGCCGGGAUUCAAGCCCAGCCUCGCCGGGAUUCAAGCCCAGCCUCGCCGGGAUUCAAGCCCAGCCUCGCCGGGAUUCAAGCCCAGCCUCGCCGGGAUUCAAGCCCAGCCUCGCCGGGAUUCAAGCCCAGCCUCGCCGGGAUUCAAGCCCAGCCUCGCCGGGAUUCAAGCCCAGCCUCGCCGGGAUUCAAGCCCAGCCUCGCCGGGAUUCAAGCCCAGCCUCGCCGGGAUUCAAGCCCAGCCUCGCCGGGAUUCAAGCCCAGCCUCGCCGGGAUUCAAGCCCAGCCUCGCCGGGAUUCAAGCCCAGCCUCGCCGGGAUUCAAGCCCAGCCUCGCCGGGAUUCAAGCCCAGCCUCGCCGGGAUUCAAGCCCAGCCUCGCCGGGAUUCAAGCCCAGCCUCGCCGGGAUUCAAGCCCAGCCUCGCCGGGAUUCAAGCCCAGCCUCGCCGGGAUUCAAGCCCAGCCUCGCCGGGAUUCAAGCCCAGCCUCGCCGGGAUUCAAGCCCAGCCUCGCCGGGAUUCAAGCCCAGCCUCGCCGGGAUUCAAGCCCAGCCUCGCCGGGAUUCAAGCCCAGCCUCGCCGGGAUUCAAGCCCAGCCUCGCCGGGAUUCAAGCCCAGCCUCGCCGGGAUUCAAGCCCAGCCUCGCCGGGAUUCAAGCCCAGCCUCGCCGGGAUUCAAGCCCAGCCUCGCCGGGAUUCAAGCCCAGCCUCGCCGGGAUUCAAGCCCAGCCUCGCCGGGAUUCAAGCCCAGCCUCGCCGGGAUUCAAGCCCAGCCUCGCCGGGAUUCAAGCCCAGCCUCGCCGGGAUUCAAGCCCAGCCUCGCCGGGAUUCAAGCCCAGCCUCGCCGGGAUUCAAGCCCAGCCUCGCCGGGAUUCAAGCCCAGCCUCGCCGGGAUUCAAGCCCAGCCUCGCCGGGAUUCAAGCCCAGCCUCGCCGGGAUUCAAGCCCAGCCUCGCCGGGAUUCAAGCCCAGCCUCGCCGGGAUUCAAGCCCAGCCUCGCCGGGAUUCAAGCCCAGCCUCGCCGGGAUUCAACCCCAGCUUCGCCGGGAUUCAAGCCCAGCCUCGCCGGGAUUUCGGAACUUGGGCUGGGUCCGGCUGGGAUCGGCGUGGCCUGGGCAGCCCAAGGGUUUGGGACCACAGGGCCACCGCCGCGAGCUCAUCGUGCAGAGCCCUCGUCCUGCUGGUCGCCAGGCUGGGGACAGCAGGUCCUGAUUGUCCCGGGGGAGAUGUGGGGACGAGCCCCAGGGUCUCCAGGGCCACCUCCCCACCCCAGAGCUGCAGGGAGCACCCUGCUCUGCUGGGUUUGGAACGGGGUGAGAUUCCAGCUCCUUCCAGCCCAAACCAUCCCACCGUUCUGCGCUUCCAGAGGCGGCUGGGGAGGGGAGCUGAGCCCAGGACGCGCUGGCUCUGCCCAGCUCCCACCAGGGGCCACGACAUUUGGAGUGGCACUGGGACAAAAUUCGGGAGCAAGCACGGCUGCCAGAGGCUCCCAGAGGUGACCCCAGGGACGUUUCAUUGCUCAGCACAAACCCUGCCGAGCUGCCUGAGCCCCGUUCUGCUGCCACACGAAGCCAAACAAGUCUGA